rnacentral:lncRNA from 1 species
CCGACGAUAACAACAACAACAACAACGAUAACGGCACGGAGAAGAACGCUCCAGCAUCAGGCACAACGACGGCGACGACCGAAACCCAAGAGGAGAUGCGAAACAUGAUGGCUGCGCUGAUGAAGAAAAUCGAUGAGCAGGACAAAAGAAACGAGGCGAUUACAGAGAGGCUAGAUGCAAUGGCGGCCGAGCGACAACAUCCAACCUGGA